GCGGAGCAGCAGCAGCGAUGGGGUUCGAGAAGCAGAUCUUGAAGGCCGGCGAUGGCCCCAGACCCUCCCGCGGCCAAACCGUCACCGUUCACUGCACCGGAUUCGGUAAGAAUGGUGAUCUUUCACAGAAAUUCUGGAGCACGAAAGAUCCGGGUCAGACGCCAUUCACAUUUAAGAUUGGGAUGGGUUCGGUUAUAAAAGGAUGGGAUGAGGGUGUUAUGGGCAUGCAACUGGGGGAAGCUGCUCGCCUCCAGUGCUCUCCUGAUUACGCAUAUGGACCCAAUGGGUUUCCAGCAUGGGGCAUACAACCGAAUUCGGUUUUGAUAUUCGAGAUCGAAGUCCUCAAAAUACAGUAAGUACUCGAUCUCCAUCAGUCUCCUUGGCUUCCAAAUACUUAUGCUAUUGGAAGUGAUGGCAUCAUGAUGGUUGGUUGAUCCUUGUCUUGCAAGAAUGAACUUCGGAACGACAAAACUUUAAUUCUGUCUCAAGUCUUUUCCUUUGAACUCAUACUUGUUCUG
rnacentral:misc_RNA from 1 species